AGCGAACGCUGGCGGCAGGCCUAACACAUGCAAGUCGAACGAACCUUUCGGGGUUAGUGGCGGACGGGUGAGUAACACGUGGGAACGUGCCUUUAGGUUCGGAAUAACUCAGGGAAACUUGUGCUAAUACCGAAUGUGCCCUUCGGGGGAAAGAUUUAUCGCCUUUAGAGCGGCCCGCGUCUGAUUAGCUAGUUGGUUGAGGUAAUGGCUCACCAAGGCGACGAUCAGUAGCUGGUCUGAGAGGAUGAUCAGCCACAUUGGGACUGAGACACGGCCCAAACACCGAGGGGAGGAGGAGGGGGGAAAUUUUGAGAAAGGGGAAAAAGCGUAACGAAGCAAUGCGGGGGGAAUAAAGAGGGUCUUAGGAUUGAAAAAUUUUUACCCGGGGGAAAAAAAGAAGGGAACCGGGAAAAGAAGCCCGGGCAAACUUCGUG
rnacentral:rRNA from 1 species